UACGUAGGGGGCGAGCGUUGUCCGGAAUUAUUGGGCGUAAAGAGCGUGUAGGCGGUUCGGUAAGUCUGCCGUGAAAACCUGGGGCUCAACCCCGGGCGUGCGGUGGAUACUGCCGGGCUAGAGGGUGGUAGAGGCGAGUGGAAUUCCUGGUGUAGCGGUGAAAUGCGCAGAUAUCAGGAAGAACACCCGUGGCGAAAGCGGCUCUCUGGAACGGUACUGACGCUGAGACGCGAAAGCGUGGGGAGCGAACAGG
rnacentral:rRNA from 1 species